AGAGUUUGAUCCUGGCUCAGGAUGAACGCUGGCGGCAUGCCUAAGACAUGCAAGUCGAACGAAGGGACCCAAUGAGAUUUAUAGAAGUUUGGAGAGCUUGCUCAAAGAAUGGAAAUAAAUCAAUUUGGAUUAUCCCUUAGUGGCAAACGGGUGAGUAACACGUGGGUUACCUGCCUUCAAGAUGGGGAUAACAGUUGGAAACGAUUGCUAAUACCGAAUGUGAUCUACGGAUUAAAGAAGCCUUUAAAGCUUCGCUUGAAGAUGGGCCUGCGGUGCAUUAGCUAGUUGGUGAGGUAACGGCCCACCAAGGCGACGAUGCAUAGCCGAACUGAGAGGUUAAUCGGCCACAUUGGGACUGAGACACGGCCCAAACUCCUACGGGAGACAGCAGUUAGGAAUAUUCGUCAAUGGGGGAAACCCUGAACGAGCAAUGCCGCGUGAGUGAUGACGGUCCUCUGGAUUGUAAAACUCUGUUGUUUGGAAAGAACUGUAAGAAGAGGAAAUGCUUCUUACUUGACGGUACCAUUCAAGAAAGCCACGGCUAACUACGUGCCAGCAGCCGCGGUAAUACGUAGGUGGCGAGCGUUAUCCGGAUUUAUUGGGCGUAAAGCGUCCGCAGCCGGUUUAUUAAGUCUAGAAUAAAAGCCUGGAGCUUAACUCCAGUUCGUUCUAGAAACUGAUAUACUUGAGUGUAGUAGAGGCAAAUGGAAUUUCUAGUGUAGCGGUAAAAUGCGUAGAUAUUAGAAGGAACACCAGUGGCGAAGGCGAUUUGCUAGGCUAUUACUGACGGUCAGGGACGAAAGCGUGGGGAGCAAAUAGGAUUAGAUACCCCUAGUAGUCCACGCUGUAAACGAUGAGUACUAAAGUUCGGGGUUACCGGGUGCUGAAGUUAACACAUUUAAGUACUCCCGCCUGAAGUAGUACCGGUCCGCAAGGCUUGAAACUCCAAAAGGAAUUGGACGGGGAACCCGCACAAACCGGUGGGAGCAUGGCUGUUUAAUUCCGCAAUAACGCGAAAGAACCUUACCUAAACUUUGAAAUCCCCCGCGAAACUAUUAGAAAAUAAAUUGGGAGGUUUACCCCGGUGGACAAAAAGGUGCAAGGGUUGUCUUCCACUCCCUGCCUCCGAAGAGUAUAUGUGUUAAUUUCAACAAACAGAGGGAAACCCCUCGCCUUCAUUUUUUUAAACAUUAAAUUUGGAGCACUCUUUAAGAUACUGCCAGUGCAAGCUGGAGGAAGGUGAGGAUGACGUCAAAUCAUCAUGCCUCUUACGUCUAGGGCUACAGGCGUGCUACAAUGGCCGAUACAACGAGAAGCAAUACGGCGACGUAAAGCAAAACUCUAAAAGUCGGUCCCAGUUCGGAUUGGAGUCUGCAACUCGACUCCAUGAAGUUGGAAUCGCUAGUAAUCCCGAAUCAGAAUGUCGGGGUGAAUACGUUCCCGGGUGUUGUACACACCGCCCGUC
rnacentral:rRNA from 1 species